GGAACAGCGUAUGGCUCAGCGCCACAAUCAGCACUUAUGUCAAUUAGGAGCUUAUUAAUUACUAUGUUAUCCUUAUGGAUUCCUUUGACUCCUAUAAUGUGGCUUCUCUAUCGUCAACUUUCUGCUGCCAAUAGCCCUGCAAGAAAAAGAAAGCCAAGUAACCAGGUGGUUGGCUUUAAUGAUGUGGAGGGUGUGGAUGCUGCAAAA
rnacentral:misc_RNA from 1 species